UAGGAAGGGGGGUAGCGUUGCUCGGAAUCACUGGGCGUAAAGCGCACGUAGGCGGCUUCUUAAGUCAGGGGUGAAAUCCUGGGGCUCAACCCCAGAACUGCCCUUGAUACUGAGGAGCUUGAGUCCGGGAGAGGUGAGUGGAACUCCGAGUGUAGAGGUGAAAUUCGUAGAUAUUCGGAAGAACACCAGUGGCGAAGGCGGCUCACUGGCCCGGUACUGACGCUUAGGUGCGAAAGCGUGGGGAGCAAACAGG
rnacentral:rRNA from 1 species